rnacentral:rRNA from 1 species
AGUCGAGCGGUAGAGAGAAGCUUGCUUCUCUUGAGAGCGGCGGACGGGUGAGUAAUGCCUAGGAAUCUGCCUGGUAGUGGGGGAUAACGUUCGGAAACGGACGCUAAUACCGCAUACGUCCUACGGGAGAAAGCAGGGGACCUUCGGGCCUUGCGCUAUCAGAUGAGCCUAGGUCGGAUUAGCUAGUUGGUGAGGUAAUGGCUCACCAAGGCGACGAUCCGUAACUGGUCUGAGAGGAUGAUCAGUCACACUGGAACUGAGACACGGUCCAGACUCCUACGGGAGGCAGCAGUGGGGAAUAUUGGACAAUGGGCGCAAGCCUGAUCCAGCCAUGCCGCGUGCAGGAUGACGGUCCUAUGGAUUGUAAACUGCUUUUAUACGAGAAGAAACACUACUUCGUGAAGUAGCUUGACGGUAUCGUAAGAAUAAGGAUCGGCUAACUCCGUGCCAGCAGCCGCGGUAAU